rnacentral:rRNA from 1 species
GAUGAACGCUAGCUACAGGCUUAACACAUGCAAGUCGAGGGGCAGCAUGGUCUUAGCUUGCUAAGGCCGAUGGCGACCGGCGCACGGGUGAGUAACACGUAUCCAACCUGCCGUCUACUCUUGGACAGCCUUCUGAAAGGAAGAUUAAUACAAGAUGACAUCAUGAGUCCGCAUGUUCACAUGAUUAAAGGUAUUCCGGUAGACGAUGGGGAUGCGUUCCAUUAGAUAGUAGGCGGGGUAACGGCCCACCUAGUCUUCGAUGGAUAGGGGUUCUGAGAGGAAGGUCCCCCACAUUGGAACUGAGACACGGUCCAAACUCCUACGGGAGGCAGCAGUGAGGAAUAUUGGUCAAUGGGCGAGAGCCUGAACCAGCCAAGUAGCGUGAAGGAUGACUGCCCUAUGGGUUGUAAACUUCUUUUAUAAAGGAAUAAAGUCGGGUAUGGAUACCCGUUUGCAUGUACUUUAUGAAUAAGGAUCGGCUAACUCCGUGCCAGCAGCCGCGGUAAUACGGAGGAUCCGAGCGUUAUCCGGAUUUAUUGGGUUUAAAGGGAGCGUAGAUGGAUGUUUAAGUCAGUUGUGAAAGUUUGCGGCUCAACCGUAAGAUUGCAGUUGAUACUGGAUGUCUUGAGUGCAGUUGAGGCAGGCGGAAUUCGUGGUGUAGCGGUGAAAUGCUUAGAUAUCACGAAGAACUCCGAUUGCGAAGGCAGCCUGCUAAGCUGCAACUGACAUUGAGGCUCGAAAGUGUGGGUAUCAAACAGG